AUACUUACCUGGCAGGGGAGAUACCAUGAUCACGAAGGUGGUUUUCCCAGGGCGAGGCUUAUCCAUUGCACUCCGGAUGUGCUGACCCCUGCGAUUUCCCCAAAUGUGGGAAACUCGACUGCAUAAUUUGUGGUAGUGGGGGACUGCGUUCGUGCUUUCCCCUA
rnacentral:snRNA from 1 species